rnacentral:rRNA from 1 species
AAAUUGAAGAGUUUGAUCAUGGCUCAGAUUGAACGCUGGCGGCAGGCCUAACACAUGCAAGUCGAACGGUAACAGGAAACAGCUUGCUGUUUCGCUGACGAGUGGCGGACGGGUGAGUAAUGUCUGGGAAACUGCCUGAUGGAGGGGGAUAACUACUGGAAACGGUAGCUAAUACCGCAUAACGUCGCAAGACCAAAGAGGGGGACCUUCGGGCCUCUUGCCAUCAGAUGUGCCCAGAUGGGAUUAGCUAGUAGGUGGGGUAACGGCUCACCUAGGCGACGAUCCCUAGCUGGUCUGAGAGGAUGACCAGCCACACUGGAACUGAGACACGGUCCAGACUCCUACGGGAGGCAGCAGUGGGGAAUAUUGCACAAUGGGCGCAAGCCUGAUGCAGCCAUGCCGCGUGUAUGAAGAAGGCCUUCGGGUUGUAAAGUACUUUCAGCGGGGAGGAAGGGAGUAAAGUUAAUACCUUUGCUCAUUGACGUUACCCGCAGAAGAAGCACCGGCUAACUCCGUGCCAGCAGCCGCGGUAAUACGGAGGGUGCAAGCGUUAAUCGGAAUUACUGGGCGUAAAGCGCACGCAGGCGGUUUGUUAAGUCAGAUGUGAAAUCCCCGGGCUCAACCUGGGAACUGCAUCUGAUACUGGCAAGCUUGAGUCUCGUAGAGGGGGGUAGAAUUCCAGGUGUAGCGGUGAAAUGCGUAGAGAUCUGGAGGAAUACCGGUGGCGAAGGCGGCCCCCUGGACGAAGACUGACGCUCAGGUGCGAAAGCGUGGGGAGCAAACAGGAUUAGAUACCCUGGUAGUCCACGCCGUAAACGAUGUCGACUUGGAGGUUGUGCCCUUGAGGCGUGGCUUCCGGAGCUAACGCGUUAAGUCGACCGCCCUCGGGGAGUACGGCCGCAAGGUUAAAACUCAAAUGAAUUGACGGGGGCCCGCACAAGCGGUGGAGCAUGUGGUUUAAUUCGAUGCAACGCGAAGAACCUUACCUGGUCUUGACAUCCACGGAAGUUUUCAGAGAUGAGAAUGUGCCUUCGGGAACCGUGAGACAGGUGCUGCAUGGCUGUCGUCAGCUCGUGUUGUGAAAUGUUGGGUUAAGUCCCGCAACGAGCGCAACCCUUAUCCUUUGUUGCCAGCGGUCCGGCCGGGAACUCAAAGGAGACUGCCAGUGAUAAACUGGAGGAAGGUGGGGAUGACGUCAAGUCAUCAUGGCCCUUACGACCAGGGCUACACACGUGCUACAAUGGCGCAUACAAAGAGAAGCGACCUCGCGAGAGCAAGCGGACCUCAUAAAGUGCGUCGUAGUCCGGAUUGGAGUCUGCAACUCGACUCCAUGAAGUCGGAAUCGCUAGUAAUCGUGGAUCAGAAUGCCACGGUGAAUACGUUCCCGGGCCUUGUACACACCGCCCGUCACACCAUGGGAGUGGGUUGCAAAAGAAGUAGGUAGCUUAACCUUCGGGAGGGCGCUUACCACUUUGUGAUUCAUGACUGGGGUGAAGUCGUAACAAGGUAACCGUAGGGGAACCUGCGGUUGGAUCACCUCCUUACCUUAAAGAAGC